rnacentral:rRNA from 1 species
GUGGGGAAUAUUGGACAAUGGGCGAAAGCCUGAUCCAGCCAUGCCGCGUGUGUGAAGAAGGUCUUCGGAUUGUAAAGCACUUUAAGUUGGGAGGAAGGGUAGUAACCUAAUACGUUGCUACUUUGACGUUACCGACAGAAUAAGCACCGGCUAACUUCGUGCCAGCAGCCGCGGUAAUACGAAGGGUGCAAGCGUUAAUCGGAAUUACUGGGCGUAAAGCGCGCGUAGGUGGUUCAGUAAGUUGGAAGUGAAAUCCCCGGGCUCAACCUGGGAACUGCUUUCAAAACUGCUGAGCUAGAGUACGGUAGAGGGUGGUGGAAUUUCCUGUGUAGCGGUGAAAUGCGUAGAUAUCUGGAGGAACACCGGUGGCGAAGGCGGCUACCUGGUCGAGUACUGACACUGAGACACGAAAGCAUGGGGAUCAAACAGGAUUAGAAACCCGUGUUCC